rnacentral:rRNA from 1 species
UACGUAGGGUGCGAGCGUUAAUCGGAAUUACUGGGCGUAAAGUGUGCGCAGGCGGCAGAGCAAGUCGAGUGUGAAAGCCCCGGGCUUAACUUGGGAAUUGCGCUCGAAACUUCUUUGCUGGAGUGUGGCAGAGGAAGGUGGAAUUCCACGUGUAGCGGUGAAAUGCGUAGAGAUGUGGAGGAACACCAAUGGCGAAGGCAGCCUUCUGGGCCAACACUGACGCUCAUGCACGAAAGCGUGGGGAGCAAACAGG